UGCAAGUCGAACGGUGAAGCAGAGCUUGCUCUGUGGAUCAGUGGCGAACGGGUGAGUAACACGUGAGCAACCUGCCCCAGUCUCUGGGAUAAGCGCUGGAAACGGCGUCUAAUACCGGAUACGAAUCAGAACCGCAUGGUUACUGGUUGGAAAGAUUUUUCGGUCUGGGAUGGGCUCGCGGCCUAUCAGCUUGUUGGUGAGGUAAUGGCUCACCAAGGCGUCGACGGGUAGCCGGCCUGAGAGGGUGACCGGCCACACUGGGACUGAGACACGGCCCAGACUCCUACGGGAGGCAGCAGUGGGGAAUAUUGCACAAUGGGCGGAAGCCUGAUGCAGCAACGCCGCGUGAGGGAUGACGGCCUUCGGGUUGUAAACCUCUUUUAGCAAGGAAGAAGCGAAAGUGACGGUACUUGCAGAAAAAGCGCCGGCUAACUACGUGCCAGCAGCCGCGGUAAUACGUAGGGCGCAAGCGUUAUCCGGAAUUAUUGGGCGUAAAGAGCUCGUAGGCGGUUUGUCGCGUCUGCUGUGAAAUCCCGAGGCUCAACCUCGGGCCUGCAGUGGGUACGGGCAGACUAGAGUGCGGUAGGGGAGAUUGGAAUUCCUGGUGUAGCGGUGGAAUGCGCAGAUAUCAGGAGGAACACCGAUGGCGAAGGCAGAUCUCUGGGCCGUAACUGACGCUGAGGAGCGAAAGGGUGGGGAGCAAACAGGCUUAGAUACCCUGGUAGUCCACCCCGUAAACGUUGGGAACUAGUUGUGGGGUCCAUUCCACGGAUUCCGUGACGCAGCUAACGCAUUAA
rnacentral:rRNA from 1 species